AUCUUGGUGGGGAGCCCAUUACAUCAGGCGAAUACACUGGAAUUGGAAGGGUGACUGAGUUCAAGUAUGGUGCCAAGCUGGGCAAUGUCAUCCGCAAAUGGAACGGAGAAAAACUUUCCUUUGUCAAGAACUGGGGUGAGGGUUGGGGCUUCAUGUCUUCUGAUAAAGCUCUGGUGUUUGUUGACAACCACGAUAACCAGAGAGGACAUGGGGCAGGAGGUGCAUCUAUUGUGACAUUCUGGGAUGCCAGGUGCAAAUUCAUCUUAUUUCAAUUUACAGCAAAUGCUUGGCAAAUGAAAAAAAAAAAAAAACCAUUUCCUUUCAUCUGAAUUCAUCCUUCUCUUUCUAGGCUUUACAAAAUGGCUGUAGCCUUUAUGUUGGCCCACCCGUAUGGAUUUACCAGAGUAAUGUCCAGCUACCGGUGGGACCGCAACAUCGUGAAUGGACAGGACCAAAAUUACUGGCAGUGACCCCCCAGCAAUGGUGAUGGAUCCACUAAACCUGUUCCCAUCAACCCUGACUCUACCUGUGGUGAUGGCUGGGUUUGUG